UACGUAGGGUGCAAGCGUUGUCCGGAAUUAUUGGGCGUAAAGAGCUCGUAGGCGGUUUGUCGCGUCUGCUGUGAAAACUGGGGGCUCAACCUUGGGCUUGCAGUGGGUACGGGCAGACUAGAGUGCGGUAGGGGUGACUGGAAUUCCUGGUGUAGCGGUGGAAUGCGCAGAUAUCAGGAGGAACACCGAUGGCGAAGGCAGGUCACUGGGCCGCAACUGACGCUGAGGAGCGAAAGCAUGGGGAGCGAACAGG
rnacentral:rRNA from 1 species